rnacentral:rRNA from 1 species
GCACGUAGUUAGCCGGCGCUUCUUCUGCAGGUACCGUCACUUUCGCUUCUUCCCUGCUGAAAGAGGUUUACAACCCGAAGCCGUCAUCCCUCACGCGGCGUCGCUGCAUCAGGCUUUCGCCCAUUGUGCAAUAUUCCCCACUGCUGCCUCCCGUAGGAGUCUGGGCCGUGUCUCAGUCCCAGUGUGGCCGGUCGCCCUCUCAGGCCGGCUACCCGUCGUCGCCUUGGUAGGCCAUUACCCCACCAACAAGCUGAUAGGCCGCGGGCUCAUCCUUCACCGCCGGAGCUUUUAACCCCGUCCCAUGCGGGACAGAGUGUUAUCCGGUAUUAGACCCCGUUUCCAGGGCUUGUCCCAGAGUGAAGGGCAGAUUGCCCACGUGUUACUCACCCGUUCGCCACUAAUCCACCCCGAAAGGCUUCAUCGUUCGACUUGCAUGUGUUAAGCAC